CAGUUCGCGCCCUCUUGGAGGAAGCAGCUUCCCUUUCCUGAGUAACGCUUGGAGGGGACCCCUUUGAGUUCUGGCUUGGGGAGGAAGGCAGUGGAGCCUCUGAGUGUAUUCUGGGAUCACACAGCUCUGGAUUCAAAUCCCAAUUCCACUACCUACUAGCUGUGUCAUUGUGGAGAAGUUAUUUUACUUGUCUGUGACCUUCAAUGGCAUCAUCUGUAAAACAGUCACCAGCAAGAGCUACCUCAAAGCAUAACCGCGUAGGACAUGUGCGAAGUGAGUAAAAGCAGAG